rnacentral:rRNA from 1 species
GUGUGGGUAUCAAACAGGAUUAGAUACCUUGGUAGUCCACACGGUAAACGAUGAAUACUCGCUGUUUGCGAUAUACGGCAAGCGGCCAAGCGAAAGCGUUAAGUAUUCCACCUGGGGAGUACGCCGGCAACGGUGAAACUCAAAGGAAUUGACGGGGGCCCGCACAAGCGGAGGAACAUGUGGUUUAAUUCGAUGAUACGCGAGGAACCUUACCCGGGCUUAAAUUGCAGAUGAAUUACGGUGAAAGCCGUAAGCCGCAAGGCAUCUGUGAAGGUGCUGCAUGGUUGUCGUCAGCUCGUGCCGUGAGGUGUCGGCUUAAGUGCCAUAACGAGCGCAACCCUUGUUGUCAGUUACUAACAGGUUCCGCUGAGGACUCUGACAAGACUGCCAUCGUAAGAUGUGAGGAAGGUGGGGAUGACGUCAAAUCAGCACGGCCCUUACGUCCGGGGCUACACACGUGUUACAAUGGGGGGUACAGAGGGCCGCUACCACGCGAGUGGAUGCCAAUCCCCAAAACCUCUCUCAGUUCGGACUGGAGUCUGCAACCCGACUCCACGAAGCUGGAUUCGCUAGUAAUCGCGCAUCAGCCACGGCGCGGUGAAUACGUUCCCGGGCCUUGUACACACCGCCCGUCAAGCCAUGGGAGCCGGGGGUACCAAAAGUGCGUAACCGCAAGGAGCGCCCUAGG